rnacentral:rRNA from 1 species
AUUGAACGCUGGCGGCAUGCCUUACACAUGCAAGUCGAACGGCAGCGGGGACUUCGGUCCGCCGGCGAGUGGCGAACGGGUGAGUAAAGUAUCGGAACGUACCUUUCAGUGGGGGAUAACGUAGCGAAAGUUACGCUAAUACCGCAUAUUCUGUGAGCAGGAAAGCAGGGGAUCGCAAGACCUUGCGCUGAUUGAGCGGCCGAUAUCAGAUUAGCUAGUUGGUGAGGUAAAGGCUCACCAAGGCGACGAUCUGUAGCGGGUCUGAGAGGAUGAUCCGCCACACUGGAACUGAGACACGGUCCAGACUCCUACGGGAGGCAGCAGUGGGGAAUUUUGGACAAUGGGCGAAAGCCUGAUCCAGCCAUGCCGCGUGUGUGAAGAAGGCCUCGGUUGUAAG